UACCAGCACCCCGAGUGGUCGGGACGAUUAUUGGGCCUAAAGCAUCCGUAGCCGGUUCUACAAGUCUUCCGUUAAAUCCACCUGCUCAACAGAUGGGCUGCGGAGGAUACUAUAGAGCUAGGAGGCGGGAGAGGCAAGCGGUACUUAGUGGGUAGGGGUAAAAUCCGUUGAUCCAUUGAAGACCACCAGUGGCGAAGGCGGCUUGCCAGAACGCACUCGACGGUGAGGGAUGAAAGCGGGG
rnacentral:rRNA from 1 species